UGUGCUGCUACUAAGUUGAAACUGAAACACGCGUUGCGGUAUGCGCUGCGCGCUGUUCGGCUAACGACUUGCCAGUCAGUCUCAAAGGAACUUUUGUGCGGUUCGGUUUGGUUCGGUUUGAUGUAUUAUACGUGCGAAAUACAUAUUUCUCAACGUCGUGCGCUCGACUUUUCAAUAUUUAUUGCGUUAUGCCACUAGUGCUUGGCCCAAAUUACGUACGCGUCCUUAUCACGUGCGAUUUGAUUGGCAUUAUUAGGACAUAAAAGAUUUUUACUAUUAGUGCAAUAUCUUUGCAACAAUUUUAUUGUGUGUGGUGAGAAAGUAGUGAGAAUUCGAUAAGCGGCAACCAUAUUUUGAUGCCUGUGUACUAAGCAAUUGUUGUGGCACGUUUAUGUGACAAACAGUUGUUGGUGCUCUUGCUAGGUCAGCAGCGCAUGUGCAAUUGUGGUGCUAAUUGUUUAACAUUCUAUGAAUUUCUAGCGCUUGCUUUUGCAAAGCAAAUUUCGUUCGUGUCCAUUUCGCGUGGCAAGCAGCCGGCUUACGCAGCACUCGUUGGAAGUGUAUUUCAUUUCCUUUGCGCUAGUGUUAUGUGCAUUUGUUUGUCGUCGCUGUCACCGCUAGCGAUAGCGCUGCCUGGUGCGUAAACUUUUAUUGGCGCACUUGUUUUUGUAGUACCUCUACGCUCACGCGCUAUAUUGAGGGGUGUUAGCCGCGUGCCCUCGUUUUGUACGUUUGUUAUUGUGCGCGCGUGUGUUGUGAAUUUAUAUAAAUAAUCUAAGUGAUUUUCAAUUCUAAUUUCCAUAGCGCUUCCAAGCAACUACAAGCCAUUCUUGCUACCACAGCGCAUAAUAUACUAUAGUGUCACAUAAUUCUCUUUGCAAGUAACACACAGGCAAAUACAUACAUAUUAUAUAUAUAGCGCGUAGUGACAGUGUCAGCUCGUAAAAUGUUUGAUAUACUUGCUGCGACACCUGACUGGCAUACCGACACGUACUAAAGACGUUCUUCGCUUCCAUUGCGUCCACUAUACUUGCUUACAACGCCAUCAAACGCGUGCAACGUGCUGCUGAAGGACACUCAAGCUGUGUCGCAUUGAGAUAACUCGCCUGCUUGGUUACUGCUUCGGUGUGUCUGUGGUCGUUGUGCUUCUCAUAAAAUAUCACCGUUGAACGUGCGCGAAUUAGAAAGCCACAAGCGUGGUGGCAAGUACCGCGGUCGCAGCUCGGCGCUGGCUAUGUAAAUAGUGCGUUGCUUGUGUGCCACUGACUCUAUUUUCCGGGUAGUUUGGCAUGGCUCUUUUCUGAAUUGCUGGAUCGUGUUAAUUGAUAAAAAGGACUUUGAACUUUUACUGCAUAUAUCUUAAAGUCUGCUGUUAUUGAUUCGUAUCAACUGAAGGUUCGCUCCAAAUUGCUUUCAAAUUGUUUGCUCCAGUGGCAACUGCAUUCUGUGAGAGUUUUCAAAACUGACUGAGCAUAUAGAGAUCUUCACCGUAAAAAAUCAAUUAUAUGUGUCCAGUUGCAUGAAUGGCGCUUAAGCUGCUUCGCAUGCGGAAAGUGGAUGUGAAUCAUUAACAAGUGCAACAACGGGCAAACAACGGAACACCCACACUACACCUACAGUCAUAUAACUAACCUGGGCACGUGUGAAGCGUUGGGCGCCACUCCGUUUAACUCUUUUACGGCGGCCCAGCACGUAGGCAACUAGCCAAAGCUACCUCCCACGAGUGAGCGAGAACUUCGCAAGCGCAACUGUGCGGCAGCAAGGACACACAAGCAUACAAUCAUACAAUUGCGAGUGUAGUGCAGCUUUUGCAGCGCUCUUUUUCCAUUACACGCAGCAG